rnacentral:lncRNA from 1 species
UGCACAUGGAUCAUAAGUCUUGUUAUGUCCAUGUCCCCUAUGAACAUAGCAGUCUUACCCUCUUUGCUUGACAUACGAGGCAACCCAAACACAAAUAAGCUCAUUUUGCUCCUCAUAUCAGCAACCAUCUCCAGAUCACAAUGGGACAUUUGAGUAAACUUUAGGCUGUACUCAUUAAAACUCAUGGAUUCCUACUUAAGAGUAAGAAAUUCUCUUACAUUUGCC